UGGGGAAUAUUGCACAAUGGGGGGGAACCCUGAUGCAGCGACGCCGCGUGAGUGAAGAAGUAUUUCGGUAUGUAAAGCUCUAUCAGCAGGGAAGAAAAUGACGGUACCUGACUAAGAAGCCCCGGCUAACUACGUGCC
rnacentral:rRNA from 1 species